rnacentral:rRNA from 1 species
UACGUAGGGUGCGAGCGUUGUCCGGAAUUAUUGGGCGUAAAGAGCUCGUAGGCGGCUUGUCGCGUCGGAUGUGAAAGCCCGGGGCUUAACUCCGGGUCUGCAUUCGAUACGGGCAGGCUAGAGUUCGGUAGGGGAGAACGGAAUUCCUGGUGUAGCGGUGAAAUGCGCAGAUAUCAGGAGGAGCACCGGUGGCGAAGGCGGUUCUCUGGGCAUGUCCUGACGCUGAGGAGCGAAAGUGUGGGGAGCGAACAGG